GAUGAACGCUGGCGGCGUGCUUAACACAUGCAAGUCGAACGGAAAGGCCCCUGCUUGCAGGGGUACUCGAGUGGGGAACGGGAGAGUAACACGAGGGUGAUCUGCCCUACACUUCGGGGUAAGCCUGGGAAACUGGGUCUAAUACCGGAUAGGACACCAUUUUGGAUGGUGUGGUGGAAAGUUUUUCGGUGUGGGAUGAGCUCGGGGCCUAUAAGGUUGUUGCUGGGGGAAUGGCCUACCAAGGCGUCGACGGGUAGCCGGCCUGUGGGGGUGUAAGGCCGCAUUGGGAUGCUGCUAGGGGCCGGAGUCCGGCAGGAGGCAGAAGUGGGGAAUGUUGCACAAUGGGAGCCAGCCUGAUGCAGGGACGCCGCGUGGGGGAUGACGGCCUUCGGGUUGUAAGCACCUUUCGCGAGGGACGAAGCGUUUUUGUGACGGUACCUGGAGAAGAAGCACCGGCUAACUACGUG
rnacentral:rRNA from 1 species